rnacentral:tRNA from 1 species
GAUCCUAUAGCUCAGUUGGUUAGAGCGUGUGACUGUUAAAUGUAACAGUUGCAUCACAAGGUCGCUGGUUCGAACCCAGCUAGGAUCG